GAUGAACGCUGGCGGCGUGCCUAAUACAUGCAAGUCGAGCGAACGGACGAGAAGCUUGCUUCUCUGAUGUUAGCGGCGGACGGGUGAGUAACACGUGGAUAACCUACCUAUAAGACUGGGAUAACUUCGGGAAACCGGAGCUAAUACCGGAUAAUAUUUUGAACCGCAUGGUUCAAAAGUGAAAGACGGUCUUGCUGUCACUUAUAGAUGGAUCCGCGCUGCAUUAGCUAGUUGGUAAGGUAACGGCUUACCAAGGCAACGAUGCAUAGCCGACCUGAGAGGGUGAUCGGCCACACUGGAACUGAGACACGGUACCGACUCCUACGGGAGGCAGCAGUAGGGAAUCUUACGCAAUGGGCGAAAGCCUGACGGAGCAACGCCGCGUGAGUGAUGAAGGUCUUAGGAUCGUAAAACUCUGUUAUUAGGGAAGAACAUAUGUGUAAGUAACUGUGCACAUCUUGACGGUACCUAAUCAGAAAGCCACGGCUAACUACGUG
rnacentral:rRNA from 1 species